AAACAGGGAUAGAUAACUACUGAAAAGGUGGUUUACUACAUAGAAUCGAUGAAUAGUCAGGAAAAGUAGUUAUCAUCUAUAGUAUAGGAGUUGGUAUCUUGAGGUAGUAUAAGGAGGAUGGGAGAGGGGAAGAAAAUGCUAGACUGUGAGAGUUGUGAACCGAGGUAAGCUUGGUGCUACCUCUUUUCUUUUCUUUGUUAUUUUCUUUGAAUAAGAGGAUUGAAAGUUUCUGAAUAUUGUGAAGUGAAUUAUGGAAUAGAAAUGUGAUUGGUAUUAUUUGAGAAGAAGAAAGAUUAAAUACUGAAAUCUGAUUGUAGUUCAGCAGAGAGAAUGAGUCUGUGUUUGUGUGAAACAUUGUAAUGUGAAUAGCAGUUCUAUGUGAAGAAUUCUAGUGAUUGGAAUGAGGGUAAUUGUGUGCUGAAAGUUGUGAGGGCACAAUAUUACAGUUGGAGAUUAUGAGGGUGAAUAUAUUGGUGGAAAUAGCAGUUAUUGGUUUGACUGAAUUGUUGUAAGGAAGAGAACGAUAAGGUGAA
rnacentral:lncRNA from 1 species